UGAAAGGGCAGAGAACUGCUUUUAAUUUAUCACCUGCUCAUGAAAGUUGCUGCCUUGCUAAUGACUUUAAAGACUUGAAUGACUUUUUGGUACAAACUCAAACAAGUCUGUAAACACGAUGAGCAAAUAAAAGCCGCUCUCAGCUAUAAUUUCUAACUAUAAAAGAAGACUUUGUCUGUCAAGAGAUCAUCGAGUGGAAAAAAACUAAAAUUACAAGUCGACGACAGGCUACUGAGAUGAACAACACAGCGAAGUGGUUGAUCUUGGCUUUCGCUCUCACCGUGCUGCUCAAAGCCGGUGACGCUCUGGAAUGCAUGGUCUGUAUGACCUCACUUCCAAUGUGUUUUUCUCGGAUAUGUGAAGCAGGCCAAGUCUGCAAGGACCAAUCAUAUGCUGACGGAAAAAUAUGUGCAGAUCCCUAAAGUGACAGCAGAUGAACACCCAACGCAAAGUCUCCCAUAAUUGACUUCUGAGACAAUAGAAGUAGGAGCAUGAAAGAAUUUGAAGGGGUUAGAAGUUUUUUGUAGUUUAGUUGGAAAGCAUUACAAAAUGUAAA